GAAACACCUGAGGGUCCAGCUACAUCUUUAGUCAACUGUUGUCCCUAGGGAAAUAGCUAGCAGGGUGCUGACUUUUCUAGCAGGAUUCCUGUUCUGAUUCUAUUUGCUUUUCCUUCCCUGGCCUCUACAGAAACUGAUCACAGAAGACGAGAAGUCCCUCUUCUCUCCUUGGCCUGGAAAUACAAGUCGAGAAGGGGAACAAGUAAAACAAACAAACAAAAAAACCCCAAAGUGACAAGUGCAUGAAAACUCAGGCUUAUCAAAGGAUGAAUUCCAUGAGGCUAUUUGACACUUUGAAAGGUCUUUAACAGAAGAGAAGAGACUUGAGAUACCAGCCACACCCAACCUAUGGUUAAAAGGUUUUGAGGAUGUGGAAUAAAGCUGCCAAUGGACAAGGGAAUCCUUAAAUCCUUCUCCCAUAAAGCAGAAGUAUGAACAGACAUCAUGAUGAACAUCUUCAGCCCCACAUUGGCUGCAUUAAGGCCUGCUGCAUCACGGGGUCAAUGGGUGUUAAGAUUUGGGGAGUCUUCUGGCAAGUUGCCACACUACAGCAGAAAGGAUACGGUGCUACAGUUCUGGAGCAGUGGAUGAAGCCAGUGCGAGAUGGGGUUGAGGUGCUUGUUCAAAGACACACAGAACUAUAAGGCUGAGACUCGUGCCCUGCUCAAUAUGGCACUAACCACUAAGCUGGCAGAGAAGAGUGAAGAGAGACUCUAGGAGAGGCCACUACGGAGACUCUAAUCUACCAGACAUGGUACAGAACCUGGAGCCAAGGGAUGAAUCUUCAAGAACAUCUAAGAGGAGGAGGCAGCAGAGCACAGGUUAGAGACGCAUGGCCCCUCAGUUACUUAUCUCCAUGACUUUGAGCAAGUUACUUAAUUUCUCCGUGCUUUAGUUUCUCAUUUGCAAGAGGGGCACAGUAGAACCUGCCUUGCAAGAAUGUUUGAAGAUACAGCUAGAAGAUGUACAGAAAGCCCUCAGCACGAGGCCUGGCAUGUAGCAAGCCCUUGGUAACUGUUAUAUACCAUCACUGACCUUUAGAGUGGUGAACGUUAUCACCUCUGCCUAUUUCACAGUAGGUGGCCUGUACUUACUUCAUGC